GACGAACGCUGGCGGCAUGCCUAAUACAUGCAAGUCGAGCGAACAGAUGAAGUGCUUGCACUUCUGACGUUAGCGGCGAACGGGUGAGUAACACGUAAGGAAUCUACCUAUAAGCGGGGGAUAACAUUCGGAAACGGGUGCUAAUACCGCAUAAUAUCUUCUUCCGCAUGGAAGAAGAUUGAAAGACGGCUCUGCUGUCACUUAUAGAUGACCUUGCGGUGCAUUAGUUAGUUGGUGGGGUAAUGGCCUACCAAGACAAUGAUGCAUAGCCGACCUGAGAGGGUGAGCGGCCACAUUGGGACUGAGACACGGCCCAAACUCCUACGGGAGGCAGCAGUAGGGAAUCUUCCGCAAUGGGCGAAAGCCUGACGGAGCAAUGCCGCGUGAGUGAAGAAGGCCUUCGGGUCGUAAAACUCUGUUAUAAGAGAAGAACAAAUUGUAGAGUAACUGCUACAGUCUUGACGGUAUCUUAUCAGAAAGCCACGGCUAACUACGUGCCAGCAGCCGCAGUAA
rnacentral:rRNA from 1 species